GACGGAGGAUGCAAGCGUUAUCCGGAAUGAUUGGGCGUAAAGCGUCCGCAGGUGGCAGUUCAAGUCUGCUGUCAAAGACCGGGGCUUAACUUCGGAAAGGCAGUGGAAACUGAACAGCUAGAGUAUGGUAGGGGCAGAGGGAAUUCCUGGUGUAGCGGUGAAAUGCGUAGAGAUCAGGAAGAACAUCGGUGGCGAAGGCAGCUCGCUGGGACGGUACUGACGCUGAGGCGCGAAAGCGUGGGGAGCAAACAGG
rnacentral:rRNA from 1 species